rnacentral:rRNA from 1 species
AUUCCAGCUCCAAUAGCGUAUAUUAAAGUUGUUGCAGUUAAAAAGCUCGUAGUCGGAUUUCGGGUCGGGCCGAGCGGUCUGCCGAUGGGUAUGCACUGUUUGGCGCGGCCUUCUUUCCGGAGACCGCGGCUACUCUUAACUGAGUGGGCGUGGGAGACGGAUCGUUUACUUUGAAAAAAUCAGAGUGUUUCUAGCAGGCAGCUCGCUCUUGCAUAGGUUAGCAUGGGAUAAUUUAAUAGGACUCUGGUGCUAUUUUGUUGGUUUCGAACACCGGAGUAAUGAUUAAAAGGGGCAGUCAGGGGCACUCGUAUUCCGUCGAGAGAGGUGAAAUUCUCAGACCAAUGGAAGACGAACCACUGCGAAAGCAUUUGCCAGGGAUGUUUUCAUCA